UUUUUUAUUUUUAUUUUUUUUUUCCAGUCAAGAGGUAACGUGUUAAGCAAUUGCCAGGCUGAAUAUUGUGCUGGAUAUUUGGAUAUUCAUCUUAAGAUCAUAACAGAUGGCUGAAACCUGGUGCUUUAUUAGAAAUGCUAUUAUGAUGCAGAAGGUUUAUAUUAAUAGUUUAUCAUUACUAGUUAAUUUUAUGGCCUGUAUUGGAUGUUGUAUUGUCUAAUACCUGCUCUGUUCUGGUAUAUUAUUUGCAUUUUUUUUUGAUAAGUAAUUUCGAUUUCUAUGCAACAAAAUUUCCAUUAUUCUUGAAAUUAUUGAUUGGUUAGUAAUUAUUAACAAAGUAAUUUUGCUGUUGCUGAUGCAGCUGUUUUCUUUUUGCCUGUCCUAAUUGGUCCAUUACUUUUGCAUGGCUGUCCAAGAUAUUAAUUUUUCUUGGUUUCUAUGUUUUUUCAACCUACUGUAUUUUUAUGCUUUCUCAGG
rnacentral:misc_RNA from 1 species